AUUGAACGCUGGCGGCAGGCUUAACACAUGCAAGUCGAGCGAGCGGCGGACGGGUGAGUAAUGUCUGGGAAACUGCCUGAUGGAGGGGGAUACCUACUGGAAAAGGUAGCUAAUACCGCAUACCAUCAGUUGUGCCCAGAUUGGAUUUGCUAGUAGGUGGUGUAAUGGAUCACCUGGGCGAAGGUCCCUAGCCGGUCUGAGAGGAUGACGGGCCACACUGGAACGGAGACACGGUCCAGACUCCUACGGGAGGAAGCAGUGGGGAAUAUUGCACAAGGGGCGCAAGCCUGAUGCAGCCAUGCCGCGUGUGUGAAGAAGGCCUUCGGGUUGUAAAGCACUUUCAGCGAGGAGGCGUUACUCGCAGAGGAAGCACCGGCUAACUCCGUGCCAGCCGCCGCGGUAAUUC
rnacentral:rRNA from 1 species